UGAAUUACUUGGGUUUGAAAAGGCCAUCUUGGGUGGUGUAGCUUUUUCUAUUACAUCUAUUCAUCAGUUUCUUCUUCUGCUCCUUCUUCUGGGUUAUCUAUACCUUGAAACUAUUGUUGCAGGUCUCUCUGUGAGAUGUAUAGAGGGAGAAAGAGGCAUUGAUCGAGUUCAAAGCUGGUUUAACUGUUACUUCAGGGCGGCUCUCUUCUUGGAUCGGUGAUGAUUGCUGCAGAUGGAGAGGUGUGCAGCAAUUUUCAAGGAACCCAUAUUCCAGAAUUCAGGGCUGCUCGCUUCAUUGCUGAAAUUGAAACACUUGAAUUACUUGGACCACAGCUUCAACAAUUUUACGAACCCAUAUUCCAGAAUUCAUUGGUUCACUUGAGAAUUUGAGGUAUCUCAAUCUCUCUUCUGCAUCAUUCAGUGGAAAAAUUCCUACUCACCUUGGAAACUUGUCUAGAUUGCAGUAUCUUGACCUUCAUUCUUGGCAUUCUUAUUUGGAUCCUUAGAUCUAUCAUGGGUGCAGUAAUAUUAAUGGCGAAAUAACAAAAUAAGUGAACAGUUUGUCUAUGUGCAAUUCUAAUAGCUUGGAGGUACUAAAUUUAUGGGGGACUGGAGUUUCAGAUCUGAUUCUAUCAUCUAUUGGAAACUUGUCGUCAUGAUAAGCAAAUUUGAUACACUUUCUCCUAUCCAUGUUGGUAUUUUACCAGAGAAGUUAUUUCUGCCAAGGGGAUCAAGACUCAGUAAAUGUGUGCAUUUUUACAAUGAUGAAGGAAGAUUGCCACGAAAGUUGUUGCUGCUAAGUAUUAGAAAUUGCAAUGAAGAUAAAGAACCUAUUGAUUGAGGAAUCUUUCCUGACAUAUUGUUGUUUCCUAAAUCUAAAAAUUGCAAGUCCUUCAUGUCCUUCCGACAACCAGGGAGUUCUCCCCAUGAACUAUUAUUUGAAUAUAUUUGCAUCUCUCAUCAACUCAACUUUCAGGUACAAUUCCGGCAUCUAUCGGAAACUUAACAUCCCUGAGAUCAUUAUUCCUCUUUCAAACUUUCGUGGCAAGCUUCUUUCAUCAUUGCAAAAGUCUUGAUCACCUUGGUAGAAAUAACUUCUCUGGAAAAAUACCAACAUGGAUAGGAGAAAGUGUAUCAAAUUUGCUUAUCAUGACGACAAGUUUCCAAUAGAUGAUAGAAUCAGAUCUGAAACUCCAGUCCCCCAUAAAUUUAGUACCUCCAACCCAUUAGAAUUGCACAGACAAACUGUUCACAUAUUCUGUUAUUUCGCCAUUAAUAUUACUGCACCCAUGAUAGAUCUAAGGAUCCAAAUAAGAAUGCCGAGAAUGAAGGUCAAGAUAUUGCAAUCUAGACAAGUUUCCAAAGUGAGUAGGAAUUUUUCCACUGAAUGAUGCAGAAGAGAGAUUGAGAUACCUCAAAUUCUCAAGUGAACCAAUGAAUUCUGGAAUAUGGGUUCCUAAAAUUGUUGAAAAUUGCUGCACACCUCUCUAUGUGCAGCAAUCAUCACCAAUCCAAGAAGAGAGCCGCCCUGAAGUAGCAGUUAAACCAGCUUUGAACUCGAUCAAUGCCUCUCUCUCCCUCUAUACAUCUCACAGAGAGACCUGCAACAAUAGUUUCAAGGUAUUACAAUUGCACAUAGACAAACUGUUCACUUAUUCUGUUAUUUCGCCAUUAAUAUUGUUGCACCCAUGAUAAGUCUAACCUCUUCAAAUUGCAAAGAUUACCCAAAGUUGUUAGUAUCCUGCCUCCAAUGCCUGUAUCCGAUAUGUCAAGGUUUUAAUUUUGGAUCAAAUAAAUUGGGUUGGUACUUGGUACAGCUUCCUUUA